rnacentral:rRNA from 1 species
AUUGAACGCUGGCGGCGUGCUUAACACAUGCAAGUCGAUCGGUAACAGGUGUAGCAAUACAUGCUGACGAGAGGCGGACGGGUGAGUAAUGCUUGGGAAUCUGCCUAUUAGUGGGGGACAACCCGGGGAAACUCGGGCUAAUACCGCAUACGCUCUACGGAGGAAAGCCGGGGACCGCAAGGCCUGGCGCUAAUAGAUGAGCCCAAGUCGGAUUAGCUAGUUGGUAGGGACGCCUACCAAGGCGACAAUCCGUAGCUGGUCUGAGAGGACGACCAGCCACACCGGAACUGAGACACGGUCCGGACUCCUACGGGAGGCAGCAGUGGGGAAUAUUGGACAA